rnacentral:misc_RNA from 1 species
UAACAAGGUUUCCGUAGGUGAACCUGCGGAAGGAUCAUUACAGUAUUCUUUUUGCCAGCGCUUAAUUGCGCGGCGAAAAAACCUUACACACAGUGUUUUUUGUUAUUACAAGAACUUUUGCUUUGGUCUGGACUAGAAAUAGUUUGGGCCAGAGGUUUACUGAACUAAACUUCAAUAUUUAUAUUGAAUUGUUAUUUAUUUAAUUGUCAAUUUGUUGAUUAAAUUCAAAAAAUCUUCAAAACUUUCAACAACGGAUCUCUUGGUUCUCGCAUCGAUGAAGAACGCAGCGA